GACGUAGGGGACGAGCGUUGUCCGGAUUCAUUGGGCGGAAAGCGCGCGUAGGCGGUUUGGCAAGUCGGAUGUGAAAACCAGAGGCUCAACCUCGGGUCUGCAGUCGAUACGAGCAAACUAGAGUGUUGCAGGGGAGACUGGAAUUCCUGGUGUAGCGGUGAAAUGCGCAGAUAUCAGGAGGAACACCGGUGGCGAAGGCGGGUCUCUGGGCAACAACUGACGCUGAGGAGCGAAAGCGUGGGGAGCGAACAGG
rnacentral:rRNA from 1 species